GCAAUGGUGGUUCAGUGGUAGAAUCCUUACCUUUCAUGCUAGAGACCUGGGUUCAAUUCCUGCCCAGUGGA
rnacentral:tRNA from 1 species